rnacentral:rRNA from 1 species
CUACCCUUGACAUGUCAGGAACCUCCGAGAGAUUGGAGGGUGCCCGAAAGGGAGCCUGAACACAGGUGCUGCAUGGCUGUCGUCAGCUCGUGUCGUGAGAUGUUGGGUUAAGUCCCGCAACGAGCGCAACCCUUGUCAUUAGUUGCUACGAAAGGGCACUCUAAUGAGACUGCCGGUGACAAACCGGAGGAAGGUGGGGAUGACGUCAAGUCCUCAUGGCCCUUAUGGGUAGGGCUUCACACGUCAUACAAUGGUACAUACAGAGGGCCGCCAACCCGCGAGGGGGAGCUAAUCCCAGAAAGUGUAUCGUAGUCCGGAUCGCAGUCUGCAACUCGACUGCGUGAAGUUGGAAUCGCUAGUAAUCGCGGAUCAGCAUGUCGCGGUGAAUACGUUCCC